rnacentral:rRNA from 1 species
CGUCUCCUGUAAACUAAACAUACGAGAUAAUGCCUGCCCAGUGAUAACCAUUUAACGGCCGCGUUAGCGUGAGCGUGCUAAGGUAGCGUAAUAAACAGCCUUUUAAUUUAAGGCCAGUGAAAGGCAACACGAAGAAUAACUUUAUUUAAUGUGCCAAAAAAAUUUUACAUUUGAGUGAAAAGGCUCAAAUAACACAAAAAGACAAAAAGACCCCGCGGAGCUUUACCUUAAUUUACAUAAUCAAUAUAAAAUUAUUAACACAGGUUUGGUUGGGGCAACCUUGGAACAACUAAUCUUCCAAUCCUUUUUACCACAAACUAUACAAAACUAACUAUGGACUAAAAAGAAGCUACCCCGGGGAUAACAGCGUAAUCCAACUUGAAAGUACAUAUCGAAAGUUGGGUUUGCGACCUCGAUGUUGGCUUAGGGUAAUCCACAAGGCGCAGCCGCUAUGACAGGAUAGUCUGUUCGACUAUUACAACCCU